UGGUAGAAGUACUUACACAUGAAUGAGCACAUAUCUGUGAAAAAACAAAGGGGUUUUGCUAAGAAUCAACUCAAUACAUUACACCAUGGAGGUUUAAGGAUAAUGGUUUUG